GGGCCUAUAGCUCAGUGGUAGAGCAUCCGGCUCAUAACCGGAUGGUCCCUGGUUCGAACCCAGGUGGGCCCA
rnacentral:tRNA from 1 species